rnacentral:rRNA from 1 species
GAUUCUGGCUCAGGAUGAACGCUAGCUACAGGCUUAACACAUGCAAGUCGAGGGGCAGCAUGAUCGAAGCUUGCUUGAUGAUGGCGACCGGCGCACGGGUGAGUAACGCGUAUCCAACCUUCCCUAUAGUAGAGGAUAGCCCGGCGAAAGUCGGAUUAAUACUCUAUGUUUUCCAAUGCAGACAUCUAAGUUGGAACAAAGGUUCACCGCUAUAGGAUGGGGAUGCGUCUGAUUAGGUAGUCGGCGGGGUAACGGCCCACCGAGCCUACGAUCAGUAGGGGUUCUGAGAGGAAGGUCCCCCACAUUGGAACUGAGACACGGUCCAAACUCCUACGGGAGGCAGCAGUGAGGAAUAUUGGUCAAUGGGCGAGAGCCUGAACCAGCCAAGUAGCGUGCAGGAUGACGGCCCUAUGGGUUGUAAACUGCUUUUAUACGGGGAUAAAGUGAGGGACGUGUCCCUUUUUGUAGGUACCGUAUGAAUAAGGACCGGCUAAUUCCGUGCCAGCAGCAGC